GCCUCUGUAGAGCAAUGGAUCGCGUGUUGGACUUCUAAUCCAAAGGUCGUGGGUUCGUAUCUCGCCAGGGAUG